GACGAACGCUGGCGGCGUGCCUAACACAUGCAAGUGGAGCGACGAACCAGGCUUCGGCCUGGGGCAGAGCCGCGAACGGGUGAGUAACACGUGGGUAACCUGCCCUGAUGAUUGGGACAACCCGAGGAAACUCGGGCUAAUACCAAAUGUGCCCUCCGACCAUAAGGUCGCUGGGGAAAGGAAGCUUCGGCCUCCGCAUCGGGAUGGGCCCGCGGCCCAUUAGCUUGUUGGUGAGGAAUGGCUCACCAAGGCAACGAUGGGUAGCUGGUCUGAGAGGACGAUCAGCCACACUGGGACUGAGACACGGCCCAGACUCCUACGGGAGGCAGCAGUGGGAAUCUUGCGCAAUGCGCGAAAGCGUGACGCAGCAACGCCGCGUGGGGGAAGAAGGCCUCGGUUGUAACCC
rnacentral:rRNA from 1 species